rnacentral:rRNA from 1 species
UUCCAGACUCCUACGGGAGGCAGCAGUGGGGAAUAUUGCACAAUGGGGGAAACCCUGAUGCAGCGACGCCGCGUGAGUGAAGAAGUAUUUCGGUAUGUAAAGCUCUAUCAGCAGGGAAGAAAAUGACGGUACCUGACUAAGAAGCCCCGGCUAACUACGUGCCAGCAGCCGCGGUAAUACGUAGGGGGCAAGCGUUAUCCGGAUUUACUGGGUGUAAAGGGCGUGUAGCCGGGUUGACAAGUCAGAUGUGAAAUCCUGCGGCUUAACCGCAGAACUGCAUUUGAAACUGUUGAUCUUGAGUGCUGGAGAGGCAAUCGGAAUUCCGUGUGUAGCGGUGAAAUGCGUAGAUAUACGGAGGAACACCAGUGGCGAAGGCGGAUUGCUGGACAGUAACUGACGCUGAGGCGCGAAAGCGUGGGGAGCAAACAGGAUUAGAUACCCUCGUAC